GUUAAGCCCUGCAGACGACGCACCUCUUUGAAUCACCACGGCACCGCCUCAUCGCUGUCGUUCGCGAUUCCUGUUCUCCGACUCCUUUCCAUCUCUUCUUCUCAGAAGAUCGGUGUCUUUUAGAGUUUCACGAUCUUCACUGAAUCCCGAUUAAAUUGAGGUAAAAUCACUUAAUUAAACCUCAAUGAAUGGCUGGUUUUGAUUUUGCUAAUGGCUGGUUUUGAUUUUGCUGUUUGGGUUUGAUGAGUUUAAAAUUAUGGAAAUGUAAAUAUGAUGGGAUCAAUUUGUAUGUGCAUUCUGGUUGAACCAUAUUUACAUAGAAACUGAUAAUCCUUCUUAGAAGAUCGUUUGAUUCCAAAUUUAAGGUCAAGACGCUACACUAAAAGAAGGGAACAAAACAAACCAGUUGCCUAGUGGCCUAAUUCCUGUGUUCCUGAUCUCAAUCAUGGCAGCAGUAGCACCAACAGUUUCUCAGCUAUCUUGCUUCUCUUCAAUCAACCGUAAUCUGCGACUCCAUCUUCGAUUCUCUUCUCUCUCUACUCGCUCCAAGUUAUUGAUUGUUAUGAAUCUUGAAGGAGCUCGGGAUACAGAUAGUUCCAGUUCAAAGGUCAAAACUAGGCUUAGUUAUGCAGCUGACGAAUCAAAACCAUACGUGGAAGGGCCUGCAAAGCCUUAUGUAGAAGAAAAGGGGAUUACUGAUUCAGUCAAGUUAUAUGGCACAGCAAAAAUCCAUGACUUCUGUUUUGGGAUUCCUUAUGGUGGUCUUGUUCUAAGUGGGGGCCUUCUUGGUUUUGUAUUUUCUAGAAAUCCUACAACCCUAAGCACGGGUGUUUUAUUUGGAGGCGCUUUGCUAGCCCUUAGCAUCUUUAGCUUGAAGAUAUGGAGGCAAGGAAAGUCUAGUGUGCCAUUUGUGCUAGGACAAGCUGUACUCUCAGCAGCCGUUUUGUGGAAGAAUUUUCAAGCAUAUUCAUUGACAAAGAGAUUAAUUCCAACAGGGUUUUAUGCUGUCAUCAGUGCUGCAAUGCUGUGCUUCUAUUCUUAUGUGAUAAUCUCUGGAGGAAACCCACCACCAAAAAAGUUGCAUUCUUCAACUGUUAUAUCAUGAUAAGAAUUCAAAAAGGUCAGAUUACAAAUUUAAUGAUGGAAUUUUUAGAUUUGAGGAGAAUGAGGCUGCACUGUUUACUUACUUCAAAGCUGUACGAGUUCAUCCAAAGUUAUCUAGUAUAUGUUUUUUCUUGUGUGAGUCAGUGUUGCUUUAGGUUGCAGUAUGUAUUUUUUCUUGGGGAAUGUUUUUGGCAGCAAUAAUGUCACAAUUAGUGGUCUAUCGAGUUGGCUUGGAUUCGGGGUACAAUUACUUUUAAUUGGCACUCAAAUUAUGGAAUAAAACUCCUGAAGUAUAUUGUAAAAGAAACUAGGAAUACAAAUAUGGGGAAUCUAAAAUCCUCCUGACAUGUGUUUUCGCAUCUAAAAUAUGCCUUGCUGUUGUAAAUCAAUUCUGCAUUACAUUUUCUUGCCUGACUAAUAUGGGGAACACAAACAUGGGGAAUCUAAAAUCCCCUUCAUUCCGAGUUACACAAGCAAAUUAGCAAACAGGUAGAUUAGUAGUUAACUCUAAGGUUAUGGACUUGCUUCUGUAAUUCAUUUUUUUAAGUGCUCUAGUCAUAUGAUUUGGGUAAAUUUAUACUGAAUAUCUUAAUUUUUCCAUUUAACUGUUUUGAAGUUGUAAAUUUACUUGUGUCGCCCCUUCUUAUAUGCUCUAGCAUUCCUCUUGGAAGCCAAAUUGAAUGUAAAAAGCAUUUCAUCUUUUUAGCUGCUUGAGAAAAAGUUUAUAGCAUAUUCUUCAGGCUGGGAAAUUCGACUAAUAAUUGAUCAAGUUAACCUUAUAAGGUACUUAUUACUUCAUGUUCUUAAUUGCCUCCAUAGUAUUUCCCUAAAUUCUGAUCGCUGGAUCUGAUACUAGGGUUUUGAAUGUGUUCUUCCCAUCUUGGAGCUCUCUACUAAAUCAUCCCUAAUGAACAUUUAGUGUCACUAUGAGGCCUUCACCUCUAAAGAAGUCCAGGCCUGUUUAACAUUUAAUUUAGUAGUAUUGUCCAUUUAAAAGAAUUGCUCAAAUUUGUAGCCAUCCCCUUAGAUCUUCUGCUUCUCUUGAAAAUUUGGUUGUAGCAUGGAGCAUGAUUAAGAAGUGAAGUGGAAGAAUUUGUUGUAGUUGAAGGAUGAGAUGAGAUUGCAUGUCAGUCUGUUAUUCUGGAAUUGACAUCCUGCAAUCAAGUUCUUCAGUUCCAAGAUUUGUGGCUUCUGGUUGUUUGACAUUAUUGCUUUAUAGUAUUUCUCUAAUUAUCCCAUCCACCAAUUUUUAGAUCCCAGGAACGAGUUCUUUCUGCCAUGCUUGUAAAUUUAUUCUUCAUAUUCUGAUGCUGUUUUAGCGGUAGGUUUCUAUGAAACAACCUUGUUGCUGUAAAAGAAAUAAUAGGAAAAGUAAAACUAGAGAUGGAGAGAGGAAUGAAGAAAAUUGAAUAUAAGAAGACAACUUUGGUCUCUUCUUAGACUGGAGUUUGACAUUGUAUUCAUAUGAUUGAUCAAAACCACAUGCUAACAAAAUAAACUAACAGCCUUAGCAUGUGUACCAACUACCAACUGCUUUUGAUUCUUCAUAGAUGCUAUCCAAUCCUU
rnacentral:misc_RNA from 1 species